rnacentral:tRNA from 1 species
GCAAUGGUGGUUCAGUGGCAGGAUUCUUACCCUCCAAGCAGGAGACCCGGGUUCAAUUCUCGGCCAAUGAA